AAUCAAAAUCACUGAAAAAGUCCGUUACGGCUUUUCGGCGUUUAACUUGUAAAAAAAGUAAAACAAAAUCAAUCAAAACGGGUCCCCGAAAGUAUAUUCUCUCUUCCUCUCCCCAACUUCCCUUACCAAUCAAACCUUCCUUCUCCUUUCUUCUCAUUUCCCCAUAAUUCCAAGUCUCCAUAGUCGCUUACAAGGAAGUACCAACCGAAAAGAAAAAAAAAAAUCACAGAUAUCACUUUGUUAUUUAGAAAGGUUAACCUCUCUGAUUUUAAAAGCUGCAUCAGUUUCGUGUUAAAUUUGUGCUGAAAUUGUUGGUUUAGCUUGAACCCUGAUGACUGAAUGGAUAGAAAAGAGCAUAUUGCAAUUUUUACCACAGCAAGUCUACCAUGGAUGACUGGAACUGCAGUUAACCCUUUGUUUCGUGCUGCUUAUCUCUCCAAAGAUGGAGAGAGAAAGAUCACAUUGGUGAUUCCUUGGUUAUCUUUGAAAGAUCAAAAACUAGUAUACCCAAAAAAUACCACGUUCAGUUCUCCUUCAGAGCAAGAGUCAUAUAUUCGACAAUGGCUUCAUGAGAGGAUUGCAUUUAUAUCUGGUUUUGAUAUACGCUUUUAUCCUGGAAAGUUUGCUGUAGAUAAAAGAAGCAUUCUUCCUGUAGGGGACAUUACAGAAAUCAUCCCUGAUGAAGAGGCAGAUAUUGCUGUCCUUGAGGAGCCCGAGCAUCUUACAUGGUUUCAUCAUGGGAAGAGUUGGAAAACUAAAUUUCGCCUUGUCAUAGGAAUAAUUCAUACCAAUUAUUUGGAGUAUGUGAAGAGAGAGAAGAAUGGACGAUUCCAAGCAUUUCUUCUGAAAUAUGUAAAUAGUUGGGUUGUUAGCAUCUAUUGCCAUAAGGUAAUUAGGCUGUCCGCUGCCACCCAGGAUUAUCGCAGAUCCAUCAUCUGCAAUGUUCAUGGAGUUAAUCCCAAGUUCCUUGAGAUAGGAAAGAAAAAGUUUGAGCAACAACAUAGUAGUAACCAGGCAUCCGCCAAAGUGGCUUACUACAUUGGGAAGAUGAUUUGGAGCAAAGGCUAUGAGGAACUACUUAAACUUCUUCAUGAUCACCAAAAGAAGCUAGCUGGUCUUGAGUUUGAUCUAUAUGGUAGUGGAGAGGACUCCGAUCAAGUUAAGGAAGCUGCUAAAAAGCUGAAACUGACGGUUAGAGUUCAUUCUGGUCGUGAUCAUGCUGAUCCUUUAUUCCACAAUUACAAAGUGUUCUUGAAUCCUAGCACAACAGAUGUUGUUUGCACAACCACAGCCGAAGCAUUGGCUAUGGGAAAAAUUGUUGUUUGUGCAAAUCACCCCUCUAACGACUUCUUCAAGCAGUUCCCAAAUUGCCGAACAUAUGAUGAUGGCAAUGGCUUUGUGGAAGCCACACUCAAGGCACUCAACGAAGAGCCUGCCCCAUUGACUGAUGCACAGAGGCAUGAGUUGUCAUGGGAGGCUGCCACAGAGCGGUUUCUAAGGGUUUCCGAGCUCAACCAGGUCUUUGCAAGAAAUUUGGACAAAAAUCCAUCGAAGAUAUUUGCAUCAACGUCUUUAAACCUGCAGAAGAAUAUGGAGGAUACUUCAGCAUAUUUUCAUUAUGUGGCUUUAGGAUUUGAAACAACUAGAAGAGCAUUUGGUGCGAUCCCAGGGAGCUUGCAUCCGGAUGAAGAGCAAUGUAAAGAGCUCGGGUUGGCUACUCAUAUGGGGAGAGGAGGGUCCAUAAAAAUAAGUGAUUGAAACGUUCCUAGUAAUUCAUUUCUGUUCAUAUUUGUUAUUGUGGAGGAUUGAAACCGUAGAAAGAUGGCCUGAGCUGCUGUACGUUAUAAGAACUCAACAAACGACGUCGUCUCGCCUGUACUGGUGACAGAGACCGACUCUUUUAAAAUCCAGUAACGGCUGGUUUAUGACUUUUCAAGGAAAAGUUUUCCUAUGCCGAAUAUUGCAUUUCAUUGCCUCAAAACUUCUCACCGUUCCUUAGCUCUCAUUCCAAAUACAACUCAUCAGCUUUUACUCCUAGUUUUGUCCCAUUUAUCAUGAAAAUUCAAGAACCAAACUAAUCCAGUAAAACCAAAACUGUAUUCAGAAGGAAUCUAUUUCUUGCCUCUCUAAUGUUGACCAUCCACGUUUUUGCCUUUCUACCAACAAUGCCAACUCGUGUUCUAUCUGGAAUCUUUUCUUCGUCAAACACUUCCAUACUAAUCCCUCCUUCCCCUGCCCAAUUUUGCACUAGAGACCUUAAUUUCUAUAGACAAGUUAACUUUGGUGACAAUGGCUGAUGGUAUGAAGCUUCAACAAUCAUUGCAGGAAAGCAGUGUUCUUGACACCCAAAAAACUGAAAUUGGUGUUGAUAUUGAGGACUACUUUCCAGCUCCUCCAGUGAGUCCUGGAUGACCUAUUCUCUUGGCUGAGCAACAGUGGAAGAGUACUUUAAGCAAAGAAGAGCUGAAACAGUGCUGUUCACGCUGCAAGGAAAGAGGGCAUUCUUAUCAACAUUAUCCUUAUCCAAUCCUCUAUG